GUCUUCGUGGUGUAACGGUAGCACACUUAGAUUGUAUUCGAGAGGUCCAGGGUUCGAGUCCUGGCGAGGGCA
rnacentral:tRNA from 1 species